UACGUAGGGUGCGAGCGUUAACCGGGAAUUACUGGGCGUAAAGCGUGCGCAGGCGGUUUUGUAAGCCAGAUGUGAAAUCCCCGGGCUUAACCUGGGAAUGGCAUUUGGGACUGCAAGGCUCGAGUGCGGCAGAGGAGACUGGAAUUCCUGGUGUAGCAGUGAAAUGCGUAGAUAUCAGGAGGAACACCGAGUGGCGAAGGCAGGUCUCUGGGCUGACACUGACGCUCGAUGCACGA
rnacentral:rRNA from 1 species